rnacentral:rRNA from 1 species
AUGUCGGGGCUUAAAAUCAACUUCCACAAGUGUGAAGUGGUGUCCAUGGGGAUGGACGCGGCCGAAAGCCAGCGGGUAGCCAACUUGCUUAACUGCAAACUUGGCCAGUUUCCGUUCACUUACCUCGGUCUCCCGAUCGCGGCGAAGAAAUGUUUGAUCAUUGAUUGGCAACCUCUCACCUCCAAGGUAGCGGGCAGGGUGUGUCCGUGGAGAGGUAGAUUUAUGUCUUCAGGGGCUAGACUAAUCUUAACCAACUCCAGCCUCUCAUCCUUACCUAUGUUCGCCAUGGGUUUGUUCUUACUGGCGGAUGGGGUACACACUAAGUUGGAUACCCCGCGGUCCCGUUUCUUUUGGGAAGGAGCGGGACCCAAACGGAAAUACCAUAUGGUCAAAUGGCAGGCCGUUUGUAGACCUAAAGCCUAG